GCUGCAACCUUCAACUGUCUCUGUUCCGCCGUUGGACAAUCUCAGCCAGUUUCAGAUCUCAGGCAGAAGCUUUAGUAAACUCGAGAUGAAGCAUUCAUUUUCAUCAGCUUAACUCAAAUCAUUUCGUUGCAAUUUUGUAUAUAUAUAAAUGUUUUGAGUCGUAUAGCAUGUAACUAGGUUGAUGGGCUUGUAACUUAAAAAAGUUCAAUUAUUUUAAUAGUUUAGCUUAUAAUGUUAACAUGGUUGAAUUUUAUUUUUUGAUUAUUAACUAUUUAUGAUUGAUUA